GUGAUCAAAGGAUGUGGUCACUAGGUCUAUGUGCUAUCACCUGGUGUUUUAAUCAAUCUCUUCUGCUCUUGGAUGUUGUGCUGUGGCCUCCACUGACCUGUGGCUUGUCUCAACUGGACUUUGAACAUCAUGCUCUAGCAUCUGCUGCUGGCAGCCAUGACCUCUGCGUCAGGCAUUAUGGUUGGUCAUCAAUAUCUGGCUCUCCUUUACAUCUGAGUUCCUGCACAACACCGUUUCCUUACUGUCAGAGCACUAUUUACUGUGAAGUUAAUGAAGCUUAAGCUUCAGGGCCUGUAUUAGUUUAUUGCUGCCUAACAAAUAACCACAAACAUAAUGGCUUAAAACACAGAUUUAUUAUCUCCCAGUUUCUGUGAGUCAGGAAUCCAGCAUGUUUUAGCCGGGUUCUCUCACAGACCAAAACCAAAGUGACAACUGUUGUCUUCUUAUGUGGAGUUUGGACUAGGGAAAGAUCUGCCUCCAAGUUCCCUCAAGUUGUUGGCAGAAUUUACUUCUUUCCUUGUAGUUCUAUGACUGAGUGGCAUGUUUGCUUUUUAACUGUCUGAUGAGGACCACUAUUAAACACUGGAGGGUUACUCUCAGAUCCUUGCCAAAGAGUCCUCUCUAUAGACGGCCCUCUCACACUUUAAAUCUGCCUUCUAGAAAGACCUAAUUCCUUUAAAGACAUCAGAGCUGGUGCAUUUCUACUUCUGCUGCAUGCUCGUAGCCAAAGCAGGUCACAAGGCCAGCAAAAAUCAGGGGAUGAGGAAAGAGAUUCUACUUCUUACCAGGAGAAACUGCAAAGUCAAUGCAAAGAGCAUGAACAUAGGUGGUUGAUAAACAUUUAUCUUUUUUGUUCAUUCAAUAAAUCAUUUGUUGAAUAUAAUCCAUGGAGCAGUCAAUGUGCUAGUAGCUGGCCACAGACAAAUGGACUCAAUCAUUGUCCCAGAAAUC
rnacentral:lncRNA from 1 species